rnacentral:snoRNA from 1 species
AGGUCAUUUCAAAGAGGGCCAGUGGGACUGAAUCCAGGCACUCUUAAUGCUAUGACUGAAGAUUGAGUUCUCCAUUAGGUUCCUGGUGGAGUUACAGA